rnacentral:lncRNA from 1 species
UCUCCGGGAUCUCCAGGAGCUGGGAAUGCGGUGUCCGGCUGAGCCUGAUCCCGUGAACAUCCCUGGGCAGGGGAAUCCACGGAUCGGAGGGAAAAACCAUCCCAGCAGUAAAAUCCCCCAUUCCAGGGCUGGAUGGAAUUCCCUGUGCCCGGGGAUGGAGAGGGUGUCCCAAGGCUGAGCCCCCGCCCGGAGGGGCCAGGACACGGAGGCAGAGGCUCAGAGCAUUCCCUGUUCCUGGAAUUCCGGCUCCCGGGAGCUGCCUGGUCAGGGCUGUUCCAGGAUAUUUUCCAGACCAUUUGCGCGGGCACCUCCAGGUCAUUUCGAUCACUUUAAGCCACUUAUCUGCCCAUUUUCCUGCCCAUAAUAUUUCCCUAAUUCGAUUACUCUGCAGCCUCCGCUCCUGCAGGGAAAGCAGCGGCAGAAUUCACCCGGAGCCAGCGGCUGGGCCACGGCCAGCAGCUCUGCCCUUGUGGGGACACUGGGGACACCCCCGGGGACAUUGGGGACACCCCCGGGGGCAUUGGGGACACUCCUGGGGACACUGGGGAUACUCCUGGGGACACUGGGACACCCCUGGAGACACUGGGGACACCCCCGGGGACAUUGGGGACACCCCCGGGGACAUUGGGGACACCCCCGGGGACACAGGGACACUCCUGGGGACACCCCCGGGGACACUGGGGACACCCCUGGGGACAUUGGGGACACCCCCGGGGACACUGGGGACACCCCUGGGGACACUGGGGACACCCCCGGGGACACUCCUGGAGACAGUCCUGGGGACACCCCCAGGGCCUGUCUGGUGAGCUGCCAGCCCCAGGCUGCGUGCAGCCACCCCCAGCUGCUCCAAGGAUCCCGAUUUAUCCAUUCCAGGAAAAACGGGAGAGUUUGGGAUUAAAAUCCCAACCUGGAUCCCAAACUGGGAUUGAAGGGGAGGGGUCCCAAAUGGGAUUUGGGAUUGGGAUUGGGAUUGGGAUUGGGAUUGGGAUUGGGAUUGGGAUUGGGAUUGGGAUUGGGAUUGGGAUUGGGAUUGGGAUGGAGGGAGGGNNNNNNNNNNNNNNNNNNNNNNNNNNNNNNNNNNNNNNNNNN